GGUGCUAUGAUGACGUAAAGGCACAUAGGAAGUGUUUAUGGGUAGUGGACAUAAUCGUAUGGUUUCGCUGUGAGUCUAACUUCAAAAUGAUUUCUCCUUCCACUGUGCAUU